GAGCAGUGACGAAUAUUGGUCAAUAGCCUAACGGCUGAACCAGCAACUUGGAGGAACGAAUAGCUAUUUCUAAUUGCACCUACAAACUGUGGGUGCAAAAUUGACUAUGUCAAAUAAAGUUCUAAGCAGAUAUCUGAUAAUGACAUUGUCUGCUUAUGUGUCUUGACCAAGUUACGUGCCAGCAGUCGCGGUAAUACGUAAAAGACUAGUGUUAUUCAUCUUUAAUAGGUUUAAAGGGUACCUAGACGGUAAAUAAAGCUUUAAAAAUUAGAACUAAUUUACUAGAGUUACUUGUGAGGGGGUUUUAAAGUACUAAUGGUGUAGAGAUGAAAUUCUGUCAUACCUUUUUUCGAGAAAGAAAAAUCAUGGCACAGGUAUAGGCGAAGGCAUCCCCUUAUGUGAUAACUGACGUUGA
rnacentral:rRNA from 1 species